rnacentral:rRNA from 1 species
UACGUAGGGUCCGAGCGUUGUCCGGAAUUACGGGGCGUAAAGAGCUCGUAGGUGGUUUGUCGCGUUGUUCGUGAAAACUCACAGCUCAACUGUGGGCGUGCGGGCGAUACGGGCAGACUUGAGUACUGCAGGGGAGACUGGAAUUCCUGGUGUAGCGGUGGAAUGCGCAGAUAUCAGGAGGAACACCGGUGGCGAAGGCGGUUCUCUGGGCAUGAUCUGACGCUGAGGAGCGAAAGUGUGGGGAGCGAACAGG